CUGACUCUUCAGUGGCUGGAUUGCAGGGGUCCAGUGUUGAAAAGUGCAUGAGAUGCCAGGCGGGAGGAGUUGGUGGAUUUCAAUGGCUUGACAUCAUGCAUUUCCCUGGUUUGUUUUUGGGUUUUGUUUUGGUGGAUUUCUUUUUUCUCCUUUAGGAAGCUCAGCUCCUGGCCCGGAUCCUGGCAACACUUAAUUAUACAAUGACAGUUGCCAUGGACACUAAAGGGGAGGCAGCAAACAGCACUGCCACUGCACUGCCAGGAACUGCUGCAGUGUUCUGGGUGCAAGGGCAUGAAGAUCCCACAGACUGCCACCAGGCACAAGCAAGCCACGCAUCACAGAAAAGCUCUGAUGUGAACGUGGCUUGGGUCUAAAGAAAUCCCUGUGUGGGGGAGAGAGAUUAUUCCUCAGUCAGCAGACAGAACUGGAGCCGGGGGAAUGGAUGAUGGUCCAGCUUUUUAGGGGGAAAAUUGUGGAAGAACAAGGCCCCAGCGCCAUCACCUGAACACAGACCAGACCAAGAGGGGUAUCCCAUGAGAUGCUGCCUUGAAAUAUUGGGGCUGGACUGCCAUUGAUCUCACAGAGACACCACCAUCCCUGUCACGCUUGGCUACGCGUGUCUCACUGCAUUCAUGUGCUUACAUUUCCAUUUAAAUGUACCUGCAAGUCUGAUUUUUCCAGAGUUUUAGCAUGCUUGGUUUUUACAGAUAAUUGCUACAGUCCUGUAAUAUGUUUUACUUGGAGCUUAUUAAUCUGCUCCCAGCUGUAAUUCCAUGUUAGCCUAGUUUUGUCUAAGGAGUAUGAAAUACUCUCUUAUUCCCAGAGCAACAGAUGUAAAUAUCAUUCUGAGGAUGGGAAGCUUAUCAAAUGUCAAGUACAAUACUUUUCACUGAUGUUUCAAGAAACGCCUCGUCCUGUGUUUCUUUGAGAGGAGACACUGCUUGCUGACUUCUGGAUCACACUGAAGUUUUACCUUAUGGAAGCUGUUGGGGAGCAUGUCAUAGUUUUCAUUUAUUUGCCUAAAGAAAUUGUAACUCAGUGCAUCCUUUUAUGGACUAGUCAUAUACACUACAGAAGAACGCUUGGGUUUAUCCCAUUUUUUCACAUUUCCAGUCUAUGAACAGUUUCCUCUUUCGAUCAAAACUAGUUUUGGCCAUACCUACAAGAUGUGGUGAUGAAACCAGUCGGGGUCCUUUUCCCACCAGAGGAGAGUUGGUGGGUGCCCAGCAAUUCCUGUGAGGCCACAGGUACCUGCUAGCAGGUUGUCCUCCUAGAAUAUAAUAAGGAUUUCAGGCCUCAUUUGCAUACAGUUGAUGCCAAAAGCUUCCUGACUUGCCAUUUGGUCUUACCACCCACCCAGUUCUGAAAGCCAUGCUGGGUGCCAGUUCCCACUGUGCUGCUAUCGGCCUUCAUAAGUGAAAAUCGUAUGAACUACUAAUCUGAAAAUCAGGCCCAUGUUUCUAUUGUGUUAGAUUUUUGGGGGAGAAAUUUCAGAUGCAGAGUGUGGAUUCACAGCCAUAAGUUUGGCAUGUAUUCUUUUUUUCCUCUUUCUUUCUCUUUUAGUAUUGUUUCCUUUUCUGACCUCUGAUGCAGACACAGAAAAAUAGUCAAAGUGCUAUUCAUUUUUAGGGUAAGGUAAAUAAGUGAUUUGUCAUACUAAGCACAAUGGACGUAGAAAGCUGCACGUUCUUUCAUGUAAUGCUUUACCAAUAACUCAUAAACGGAGGCUUACACAGUUUUCUUUGGCUAAAUUUCA